UGGGGAAUCUUGCACAAUGGGCGAAAGCCUGAUGCAGCGACGCCGCGUGCGGGAUGAAGGCCUUCGGGUUGUAAACCGCUUUCAGCAGGGACGAGGCCGCAAGGUGACGGUACCUGCAGAAGAAGCCCCGGCUAACUACGUGCCAGCAGCCGCGGUAAUACGUAGGGGGCAAGCGUUAUCCGGAUUCAUUGGGCGUAAAGCGCGCGUAGGCGGUUUGUUAGGUCAGGAGUUAAAUCUGGGGGCUCAACCCCUAUCCGCUCCUGAUACCGGCAGGCUUGAGUCUGGUAGGGGAAGGCGGAAUUCCAAGUGUGGCGGUGAAAUGCGCAGAUAUUUGGAAGAACACCGGUGGCGAAGGCGGCCUUCUGGGCCACGACUGACACUGAGGCGCGAAAGCUAGGGGAGCGAACAGG
rnacentral:rRNA from 1 species